CCCUCUUGCUCACCCUUGACUUGGAAAAACCAGUUUCUCUUUUAUUAGGCGGGGUUUCACCAUGUUGCCCAGACUGGUCUUGAACUCCUGAGCUUAAGCAAUCCACCUGCCUCGGCCUCCCAAAGUGUUGGGAUCACAGGCGUGAGCCACCGCAUCCGGCCUCAUGUUCUUUUUCAUUAAAGAGAGAAAUCAACUAUUCAGGACCGGCCCCCACCUUUCCUCAGGAGUCAUUUCUGUUCCGCACAGGCCUGCUGAACUGGGUGCUUUAUAUAGGAUUUCAGUGGAGUGAAGUUCAGGAGGCAUGGAGCUGACAACCAUGAGGCCUCGGCAGCCACCGCCACCACCGCCGCCGCCACCACCGUAGCAGCAGCAGCAGCAGCAGCAGCAGCAGCAGCAGCAGCAAGAGUAACUCUGACUUAGGAAUAGAGACAGCCAGAGAGAAAUGUGAUCAAUGA
rnacentral:lncRNA from 10 species